rnacentral:rRNA from 1 species
CAGCACGGCCCUUAUGUCCAGGGCGUACACACGUGUUACAAUGGCCGGUACAGAGGGCAGCUACCUGGAGACAGGAUGCGAAUCUCGAAAGCCGGUCUCAGUUCGGAUCGGAGUCUGCAACUCGACUCCGUGAAGCUGGAUUCGCUAGUAAUCGCGCAUCAGCCAUGGCCGCGGUCCGAAUACGUUCCCGGGCCUU